rnacentral:rRNA from 1 species
GGAAUCUUGCACAAUGGAGGAAACUCUGAUGCAGCGAUGCCGCGUGAGUGAAGAAGGCCUUUGGGUUGUAAAGCUCUUUUGUAGGGGAAGAUAAUGACUGUACCCUAAGAAUAAGGUCCGGCUAACUUCGUGCCAGCAGCCGCGGUAAUACGAAGGGACCUAGCGUAGUUCGGAAUUACUGGGCGUAAAGCGCGCGUAGGCCGUUGAGUUAGUUAAUUGUGAAAUCCCAAAGCUUAACUUUGGAACUGCAAUUAAAACUGCUCGACUAGAGUUUGAUAGAGGAAAGCGGAAUACAUAGUGUAGAGGUGAAAUUCGUAGAUAUUAUGUAGAACACCAGUUGCGAAGGCGGCUUUCUGGAUCAACACUGACGCUGAGGCGCGAAAGUAUGGGUAGCAAAGAGGAUUAGAUACCCUCGUAGUCCAUACCAUAAACGAUGAUUGCUAGAUGUUGGAAAUUUAUUUUCAGUAUCGCAGCUAACGCAUUAAGCAAUCCGCCUGGGGAGUACGAUCGCAAGAUUAAAACUCAAAUGAAUUGACGG